CCACCUCCCAUCCGUGUCUAUCUGUACCCUGUUGCUUCGGCGUGGCUACGGCCCGCCGAAGACUAACAUUUGAACACUGUCUGAAGUUUGCAGUCUGAGUUUUUAGUUAAACAAUAAUUAAAACUUUCAACAACGGAUCUCUUGGUUCCGGCAUCGAUGAAGAACGCAGCGAAAUGCGAUAAUUAAUGUGAAUUGCAGAAUUCAGUGAAUCAUCGAGUCUUUGAACGCACAUUGCGCCCCCUGGUAUUCCGGGGGGCAUGCCUGUCCGAGCGUCAUUGCUGCCCUCAAGCACGGCUUGUGUGUUGGGCUUCCGUCCCUGGUAACGGGGACGGGCCCAAAAGGCAGUGGCGGCACCAUGUCUGGUCCUCGAGCGUAUGGGGCUUUGUCACCCGCUCCCGUAGGUCCAGCUGGCAGCUAGCCUCGCAACCAAUCUUUUUAACCAGGUUGACCUCGGAUCAGGUAGGGAUACCCGCUGAACUUAAGCAUAU
rnacentral:rRNA from 1 species